rnacentral:rRNA from 1 species
AGCCAUAAGACUAUAUUUAUGGUUUAACCUGCCCAAUGUUAUAGAUGAAUGGCCGCGGUACUUUGACCGUGCUAAGGUAGCGUAAUCAGUUGGCUUUUAAAUGGAGUCAGGAAUGAAUGGAUUAACCGGGUUUAGCUGUCUCUAAGUUAUUAAAUUGAAUUUACUGUCUAAGUGAAAAAGCUUAGAACUAGAAAAGGGACGAGAAGACCCUUAGAAUUUUUUCUAAAAAUAGCGUGCUUCUUAAAUUAAGAAUUGCUUUUAAUGAUUUUGUUGGGGCGACAAAGAAAUAUGUAAAAACUUUCUUUUUUAAAACACGCCGAUUGUAUUAAGAAAGGAUAAAUUACCUGAGGGAUA